rnacentral:rRNA from 1 species
CCCUUAGAUGUUCUGGGCCGCACGCGUGCUACACUGAGUGGAUCAGCGGGUCAGGUUGCGCGAAAGUGUUUCCUAAUCUUGAAAUCCGCUCGUGAUGGGGAUUGACGGUUGCAAUUUUCCGUCAUGAACGAGGAAUACCUUGUAAGCGCGGGUCAUCAUCCCGCGCUGAAUACGUCCCUGCCCUUUGUACACACCGCCCGUCGCUCCUACCGAUUGAGUGGUCCGGUGAGGCUUUGGGAUCUGAGCGGAAAGAGCGUUUCCCUGUUUCUGCUCGGAAAACUCAGUCGAACCUUAUCAUUUAGAGGAAGGAGAAGUCGUAACA